rnacentral:rRNA from 1 species
UACGGAGGAUCCAAGCGUUAUCCGGAAUCAUUGGGUUUAAAGGGUCCGUAGGCGGUUUUGUAAGUCAGUGGUGAAAGCCCAUCGCUCAACGGUGGAACGGCCAUUGAUACUGCCAGACUUGAAUUAUUAGGAAGUAACUAGAAUAUGUAGUGUAGCGGUGAAAUGCUUAGAGAUUACAUGGAAUACCAAUUGCGAAGGCAGGUUACUACUAAUGGAUUGACGCUGAUGGACGAAAGCGUGGGUAGCGAACAGG